AGUUAUGUACACUUACAGCUGUGUUAUGCAUACGUUACAGCUGAGUUUAAUUAUAAACCAACCAUAAUCUAAAACCUAAAAACAAAAAGCUUGCAGCCGUGUUGACAAAAUCUAAACCUAACUAAACCACCGUGUGUUUCUUCCAUAUCACGAGAGCCGGGAGGUCAUUAUUGUCUUCUUCCUUCGCCACCACAGUCCCGUUACCAUGAGAGCUCCAACGUCUUCAAGCCACACAACGGUUUUGUUAUCUCCUCCACCAUCAAGCUCCUCUGCCUUAUCCACCUUCUAGUAACAAGAACAAAUUCAAAACACAGAGAAAGAGCGAGAGAGAUUGAAAGAGAGAGGUGACCAGUGUGGUGACAAGCGGUGGUAGUGGCGACUACGGUGAAGAUGGAGACCGGCAAAAAUGGAUCUGAGAAACUGAAACAAGGACGACGUCGGCAAGUAUAGAUGGCGACGAGCUCAAUAUCCGUGAUGAUGGCGAAGACCAGUCUUCUUCGACACUUUCUUUUCUUCGCCGACAAUCUUCUUUUCUUCUUUGACGUUUCUUCUUUUCUCACUUCUAAGAUUU
rnacentral:lncRNA from 1 species